rnacentral:lncRNA from 12 species
CGAGAGGAUUCAGAGCCAGCUCUGGGAUUUAUUUUUUUUUUUCCUUAAGGAAGGGGGAAAAAUGAAGGAAAACGGGAUUAUCCAAGGAUUCUGAGGGUAGCAGAGUCAUUUUCCAGAGGGAAAGCUCCCGGUAAAAGCACAAACCACAAUCCCUGGAAACACAGGAUGAGGGAUUGGCUCCGGAUCUGUGUGGCUCCGAGCAAAUCCAAGGAUUCCAUGGAACAUCAGCCCCCAGCAUGCCGAGCAGUCACAAUGAGGAAUUCCAGGCUGUUCCCUGUUCCAAAGGCUGGAGCAGAGGCAGGAUCCAGAGCCUGGAUCCGAUCCAACCCGGACCUUUCCAGAACCAAUCCGCAAAGUGGAAGAUCCUGGCUGGGAGUCGACAUUCCCGAUCCCUCUCCCGGACAUUCCGGAUGGGCUCCCACCACCUCCUCUGCCUGCUGUGAACUUGGAUUUCACCUCCAGGGCACCUUCCCGUUUUCCCACCCCAAUCCCCGUUUUGCACUCGUGUCGGAUUCCUUGUCCCAAGUGUCCGGUGCCACUGUCUGCUCCCCAAAGGGAGGGAUAAGGAGCUUUUUCCCAGGAGAUAACGGCAUUAGGGAGUCUGUCAGGAAUUAGGGAAGCACUCACAGGAUUUAUUCCGGAGCUUAAUCCAAUUCCAGCCGCAGGGGAGCUGGAGCUCCACAUCCACAGCCCUUGGAGCAGGACAGGCAAAUCCUAUUCCAGCCCUCUGGAAAAUCUCGGCACGGGGUGAGGGCGGCGUCCCUGGGAUGUUCCAGAGCCGCCCCUAAACCAGAGCAGGAAUCCUUGGAGCUGGAGCAGCAGGAAAAUCAUCAGGGCUGGGAGAGCGGGAUCCAAACUGGGAUUGGGGUGCCCAGGUCACCCAACCUCAACAUUCCCAAUCCAUGUCAAUAACAUCGACAUCCCAAUCCAUGUCACGGACCAAACAUUCCCAAUCCAUGUCAAUAACACCGACAUUCCCAAUCCGUGUCAAAUAACACCAACAUUCCCAAUCCAUGUCAAAUAAAUUCAGUAUUCCCAAUCCAUGUCAAUAACCUUGACAUUCCCAGUCCAAGUCAAUAACCUUGACAUUCCCAAUCCAUGUCACGAACCAAACAUUCCCAAUCCAUGCCAAAUAAUCUUAACAUUCCCAAUCCAUGUCAAAUAACCACAAUAUUCCCAAUCCAUGCCACCAACUCUGACAUUCCCAAUCCAUAUCACUCAACUUCAAAAUUCCCAGUCCAUGUCACCAACGUCAAUAACCUUGACAUUCCCAAUCCAUGUCACGAACCAAACAUUCCCAAUCCAUGCCAAAUAAUCUUAACAUUCCCAAUCCAUGUCAAAUAACCACAAUAUUCCCAAUCCAUGCCACCAACUCUGACAUUCCCAAUCCAUAUCACUCAACUUCAAAAUUCCCAGUCCAUGUCACCAACCUCAACAUUCCCAAUCCAUGCCAAAUAAAUUCAAUAUUCCAAAUCCAUGUCAAUAAUCCCAACAUUCCUGAUCCAUGUCACCAACCCCGACAUUCCCAAUCCAUAUCACCCAACUUCAACAUUCCCAAUCCAUGUCACCCAACUUCAACAUUCCCAAUCCAUGUCACAAACCUCAACGUUCCCAAUCCAUGUCAAUAACCUCGACAUUCCCAAUCCAUGUCAAAUAACCUCAACAUUCCCAAUCUAUGCCACCAACUCCAACAUUCCCAAUCCAUAUCACUCAACUUCAAAAUUCCCAGUCCAUGUCAAUAACUUCAACAUUCCCGAUCCAUGUCACCAACCUCAACAUUCCAAAUCUGUGCCAAAUAAAUUCAAUAUUCCCAAUCCGUGUCAAUAAUCCCAACAUUCCUGAUCCAUGUCACCAAUCCCGACAUUCCCAAUCCAUAUCACCCAACUUCAACAUUCCCAAUCCAUGUCACCAACCUCAACGUUCCCAAUCCAUGUCAAUAACCUCGACAUUCCCAAUCCAUGUCAUGAACCAAACAUUCCCAAUCCAUGUCAAUAACCUCGACAUUCCCAAUCCAUGUCAAUAAACUCAAUGUUCCAAAUCCAUGUCACCAACCCCAACAUUCCCAAUAUCACCCAACUUCAACAUUCCCAAUCCAUGUCACCAACCUCAACGUUCCCAAUCCAUGUCAAUAACCUCGACAUUCCCAAUCCAUGUCAAAUAACCUCAACAUUCCCAAUCUAUGCCACCAACUCCAACAUUCCCAAUCCAUAUCACUCAACUUCAAAAUUCCCAGUCCAUGUCAAUAACUUCAACAUUCCCGAUCCAUGUCACCAACCUCAACAUUCCAAAUCUGUGCCAAAUAAAUUCAAUAUUCCCAAUCCGUGUCAAUAAUCCCAACAUUCCUGAUCCAUGUCACCAAUCCCGACAUUCCCAAUCCAUAUCACCCAACUUCAACAUUCCCAAUCCAUGUCACCAACCUCAACGUUCCCAAUCCAUGUCAAUAACCUCGACAUUCCCAAUCCAUGUCAAUAAACUCAAUGUUCCCAAUCCAUGUCACCAACCCCGACAUUCCCAGUCCAUAUCACCCAACUUCAAAAUUCCCGACCCAUGUCAAUAACCUCGACGUUCCCGAUCCGUGUCAAUAACCUCGACAUUCCCGAUCCAAGCCAAAUAACCUCAACAUUCCCAAUCCAAGCCAAAUAAAUUCAAUAUUCCAAAUCCAUGUCAAUAACCUCGACAUUCCCGAUCCAUGCCAAAUAACCUCAAUGUUCCCAAUCCGUGCCAAAUAAAUUCAAUAUUCCCAAUCCGUGUCAAUAAUCCCAACACUCCUGAUCCGUGUCACCAACCGGAACAUUCCAAAUCCAUGCCAAAUAACCGUAACAUUCCCAAUCCAUGUGUCUUGGAGUGACUUUAUGGCGCUUGUAUGCCCAAAUCGUCUGUUAGUGUCAAAUAUUGAAUUCUGCAACUUCAGGACUGCUUCCAGGAAUGAAGCAGGACGAGAAGAAGGUGCAGAGUGAUUAUCAAAAACUCCACUUGCUCCCCCGCAUUUUUCACACAGAUCGUGUUGUCUGCAGUAGACAGCGAAAAAAAAACUUAUUUGUACUUUUAAUUAGUUUUUAUGGCUAGCUGAGACAAAGAAAUCCCCACAGCCAAAGUGUUUGGAAAGGAGGAGAAAAGUGAUUUAAAAGAGGGGUGAUCAGAGGAGGGCGAUGAGAGAGAAAAAAGGAAAUAAAAUGCAAAAGGGGGAUAAAAAGAGGAGUAAAAGAGGUGUAAAGAGAGAAGUAAAAGCGGUGUUAAUAGAGGAAUGAGUGGGUUCUGAAAGAGAGGUGAUAAGAGAGAAAAAGAGAAAUAAAAUUAUGAUAAAAGAGGUGGAAACUGCGGGUAAAAAACGUGAAAAAGAGGGUAAAAAUGUGUAAAAAGAGGAGCGAAAGAGGUGUAAAAAGAGAGUAAAAGAGGUGUGAACUGAGGGCAAAAGAGGAGCAAAAGGAGUGGAAAAGGAGGAGUAAAAGAGCUGCAAUAAGAGGAGCAAAUGGAUUCGGAAAGGGAGUUGAUAAGAGAUGAAAAAGGAAAUAAAAUGGUGAUAAAAGAGGUGCAAACUGAGAGUAAAAGAGGAGAAAAAGAGGCGUAAAAGAGGAGUAAAAAGGUGUGAAAUGAGGGUAAAAGAGAUGUAAAAAAUCGUAGAAAUGGAAGUAAAAGAGGCAUAAAAAGAGGAGUAAAGGGUUUCUGAAAGGAAAGUGAUAAGAGAUAAAAAAAAGAAGUAAAAUUAUGAUAAAAGUGAUAAACCAAGGUGUUUGUAAGAGUUCUCAAAGGCUGAGAAGUGGUGAUAAAAGAGCAGUGAAAGGGUGUUUGACCCCAAAAUUCCCUGUGCUCCCAGGAAUGUUCCUUGGAUUUCUGCCCCUCUCUGGAUCCAUCCCGGGCAGGAACGAGGCUCCUCCUUCCCCAGAGAUCUGCGACAUCAAGGACAAAUUAAUGAGCGGCUUUAAUUAAUUAUUCCACCCCCCUCGGGAAGCACGGGGGAGGGCGGCACCCAGAUGUUCUCCACAGCUGGAUGUGGAAAAUCCCAAUCCCAGCCUCAGGAAGGGACUGGGAGGGAGUGGGAGAGGGGAUCCCAGAUCCCGCUGGGAAUGAGGCCGGCCUGGAGCUGGGAAUGCCAGGGAAGGGUCUGGAAAUUGCCAUCAGCGAUUUCCAUCAGCCCAAAUGUGUAAUUACAGGGAUUAGAGGGAUUAGGGGAAAGCAGGACACGGCAAUUCCCGUAAUUCUGCACAUUUGCACCGGAGCAUCUGGGGACAGCCUGGAAUGGUUUCCAGGGGGGUUCUCCCUCCUUUAUCCCAGACCAAAAUCAAAGCAAAUCCCCUGGAAUAGAGAGCAGGGACAUGGCUGGGAAUAAAUGAGGCAAGUUUGGGCUGGGAUUUUGGGAAGGAAUUCCUGGCUGGGCUGGAAUUCCCGGAGAAUCCCUGGAUCCCUGGUAGUGCUCAAGGGUGGAUUUGGAUCACCCUGGGAUGGAGGGAUUGGAAUGGGAUGGGAUUGAAGGCCCAUGGAUCCCAUCCCAAACCAUUCCUGGAUCCUGGGAUCCAGGACACUCAGGAUCCAUCCCGAGGGAUUUUUAUGGAAUUCGGGGAUGGAAAAGGGAAGGGAGACCCCUCCUGGAGUCCCGAAUUCCUAGUGAAGCCCCUGGAUCCCGAAAUUCCC